UGCUGGGAGAAAUACAGCGCUCGUAUUUCUCUCUGGCUGGAGCACAGCACACUACAGACCUGAUGUGGAAGAUGCAGCCGGCAGGAUUAAUUGGGCCCAGUUACAGAGGAUCAGCAAGUUUGGUGCUCUUCACAUGCUGCUCCUCCAUAUGGCGGCACAGAAGUCACACACGAUGAUUAAUAGUUCAGCCUCUUCCACUGGCGGUAGUGACUCUCUGGGGCUCCUCAUGUUAUCCAGUCAGCUGAUAGUGCAUGCCUCCAUGCAUCACAGCUCCUAAGCUGUGAUUGAAACAUCAGGCAAGGAGGACGGGGCCCUAGAGAUGCUCCAGGCCUGACACCGACUCUCAGCGCCGAGUUCUAUCAUACCCAGUGCCGGGGCUCCCGCACACAUCAGACAGACCGUCUCUGUCCUCAGACAUCCUCAUCUGCCUCCCACUGCGCACAGCCCAGCUCGCCAGGAUUUCAAUCACAGGGCCAAAUGGAAUUAUUAAGAGGUGAAGGUCAGGAGAUGGCCCACAGCGUGGCAGCUGAUGGCCGCUUUUUCUUCUUUCUUUUUCAGAAAAAAACCCCUCAUUUCAUCUUCCUUCCUUCUUUCUGUCUUUCUUUCUGGGCAUCUCUACACUGCACAGCAUGCUUUUAAAAUACAAAAUGCAACACGUGAAGUGGCUGCACGUGCAGUGACCGAAAUAAAAAAUGGUUUAAACAAACUAAAUCGAUAAAGAAGGGAAGAAAGAAAGAAAGACAUGUCAACCUAACACAUCCUGUCAUCAUUUCCCUUUUGCUAAAAGACACGUACCAAAAGUUUCAGUUUCCUUCUUAUCUGGAUAUGAUUGGUGGGAAAGAAGUCGAGCGUAUGUGAAACACACCUCCUACAUAACACCUAUGCUCUCUGUGUUUUGUAUGAGGUGACAUUCUCUUGAUAUCACAUCUGUAAACAUCCCAUGGGAACUAGAAUACACAGACUACUGAGUAAGUGUCAGCCGUCUCCUGGCACCUGAUUCACCUUUCGUUGUCACUGUGCACUCGUGUAGGUUUAAAUAAACA